CAGGAGUAAGAGGAACCAGGCACGGACACCACUCAUCUCUCCUGAGCGGUUCCAUUACAUCAAGUCCAAAGGCUGGAGGACAAAGCUAACGGUGUGAGACAGAGGCUCUUAGGGAAGACAGGUUGCUGUAGAGCAUGUGCGCCAAAAGCUUGGUUGCCAGCAAGAUAAUCUCUGCUCCCAUCCUCACUCAAAGGUGCGUCAGGGAAAAUUGGACUUCAUUUCGCCCGGGAUGGAG